AGAAAGUGAAAUAUUCUCGUAGUUAAGCAAGUGUCCAUUCUAUUCAAGUGUGACCUAUGAAAAGUUGGGUAAAUUGCAUCUAUAUCUCAUGAAUUAAGGGAGGCUUGUUGGGGAAAUAACAGAUACGCUCUGACACCCGUUCUGCGGAAUUUGCCCUACCGGAUCUUGUGUUAAGCAAUGAAAAAAAAAGAAAUCACAACAAAUUAAAAUAACAAGAACAAAGAACACCGAAUUUAAUGAGGUUCGGCAACUUGCCUACGUCCUCGGGAGCCACACAAAUAAUUUCCUUUAUAUUAAAGAAGAUUACAAAGCUUGUAAAGAGCAGAUCUCAAAACUUGAGAUCUCUCAAGAAAAAAAACCAACAGAAACUAUCUGUUGUUCAAACAAAAGGCGCUGAGAUUUUCCAACUUGAAAAUCCCCUCUCUCCUCAAUAAAUCUGCUAUAGGAACUCUCUUUAAUAACCGAGAUUUUCACUUGAAAUCUCGUGCUCAAAAGAUCGGGGAGGAGAAGAAGGCGCUCGAAAAGAACGCCGCCACCCAGCUCUCAAAAAUCGCUCUGAGAUUCUUCUCACUUUUCUUCUCGUGCACAGUUCUUCUUUUAUAGGAGAACCCUAGGGCCAGAACAGCUGUGUCCAGCUGUUCCCCACCAGCCGCAGGCGAAGAAACACCCAAAGAGGGAGGCGAACUUGGAAAUCGCCUGCUCAACCCUCAUUCAAAUCUCGCCUGCAAGAUCUUCUCUCGAGCUCGCCUGUAGCCAGCUGUUCCGCACUCAGAUUCGAGCUCGCCUGUAGUCUUCGAAUUCACCUGGAAUCGUCGACUUCAAUCUCGCCUGUAAGACCAACUCCAAAGCUCGCCUGCAAGGGGAUCUCGCUAGCGGGGCUUCUCCGAACUCGCCAGAAGCUUUUCAAAUCCGCCUGCUCGAGUUCGCCCGACUGCCCAAGAGAUCGCCUGUAGCCCUCCGCGCCACGAGCUCGCCUGCAGCAAGAUUCGCGACUUCGCCUGAGCUGUUCGACCUCGCCUGAGCUCGCCGUCGGCCUCAAGUUUGCCGCUGACAGUUGGUUGUUUUGGAUUUUGGAGACACAGGAAAUAGAAGCAAUGGUAAUGGGAAGAAGAGGUCGCUGGUCAAGUUCAACCAAGAUCUCUACCAAGAAUGAAGAUGAGUUCAACCAAGAUCUGUACCAAGAAUGAAGAUCAACGGAUGAUGAAAGAGAAUCAACUGGCUAGGAAUGUUGGCAGAUCAUCUAAUGAAUGGGAACAUAAUGAUGCUUCAGCACCUUGUCUGUUCAAAUAAGAAAAGUUUACUGGGAAAAGCAGCCGGAGGUUAUCAUUCUCAAUGUUCUUGAUGAGCUUCUCGAUGAGCAGACGCCUCUCCGGAGCCCCGAGCUUGGUGACAUCAGCC